GAUGAACGCUGGCGGCGUGCCUAAUACAUGCAAGUCGAGCGAACAGACGAGGAGCUUGCUCCUCUGACGUUAGCGGCGGACGGGUGAGUAACACGUGGAUAACCUACCUAUAAGACUGGGAUAACUUCGGGAAACCGGAGCUAAUACCGGAUAAUAUAUUGAACCACAUGGUUCAAUAGUGAAAGACGGUUUUGCUGUCACUUAUAGAUGGAUCCGCGCCGCAUUAGCUAGUUGGUAAGGUAACGGCUUACCAAGGCAACGAUGCGUAGCCGACCUGAGAGAGUGAUCGGCCACACUGGAACUGAGACACGGUCCAGACUCCUACGGGAGGCAGCAGUAGGGAAUCUUCCGCAAAGGGCGAAAGCUUGACGGAGCAACGCCGCGUGAGUGAUGAAGGUCUUCGGAUCGUAAAACUCUGUUAUUAGGGAAGAACAAAUGUGUAAGUAACUAUGCACGUCUUGACGGUACCUAAUCAGAAAGCCACGGCUAACUACGUG
rnacentral:rRNA from 1 species